GGGUUGAAUGGUAAUUCUGUUUUUAGUUCUUUGAGGAAUUAUCACAUUGCUUUCCACAGCAGCUGAACUAAUUUGCACUCCCACCAGCAGUGUAUAAGCAUUCCCUUUUCCCUGCAACCUCACCAGCAUCUGUUAUUUUUUGACUUUUUAAUAAUAGCCUUGCUGACUGAUGUGAGAUGGUUUCUCAAUGUAGCUUUGAUUUGCAUUUCUCUAAUGAUCAGCGAUGUUGAGCAUUUUUUCAUAAGCUUGUUAGCUAUAUGUAUGUCUUCUUUUGAGAAGUGUCUGUUCAUGUCCUUUGCUCACGUUUUAAUGGGAUCGUUUGUCUUUUGCUUGUAAAUUUGUUUAAGUUCCUUAUGGAUUCUGGAUACUGAACCUUUGUCAGAUGCAUAGUUUGUAAAUCUUUCCUCUUAUUCUGUAGGUUGUCUGUUUACUCUGUUGAUGGUUUCUUUCGCUGUGCAGAAGCUCUUUAAUUAGAUCCCAUUUGUCAAUUUUUGCUUUUGUUGCCAUUGCUUUUAGUGUCUUUGUCAUGAAAUCUUUGCUCGUUCCUAUGUCCAGAAUGGUAUUUCCUAGGUUAUCUUUAUCUUCAAGGGUUUUCUUUAAAAAAUAUUUUUAAGUUUUACAUUUAAGUCUUUAAUCCAUCUUGAGUUGAUUUUUGUAUAUGGUGUAAGGAGAGGGUUCCAUUUCAAUAUUUUGCAUAUGGUUAGCCAGUUAUCUCAGCACCAUUUAUUGAAUGAGGAGUCCUUUCCUCAUUGCUAGUUUUUGUCAGCUUUGCUGAAGAUCAGAUGGUUGUAGGCGUGUGGCCUUAAUUCUGGUCUCUCUAUUCUGUUCCAUUGUACUGCUACUAUGCUAUUUUGUUUACCAUAGCCCUGUAGUAUAGUUUGAAGUAGAGUAACGUGAUGCCUCCAACUUUGUUCUUUUUGCUAAGGAUUGCCUUGGCUAUUUGGUCUCUUUCUUGGUUCCAUAUCAAUUUUAAAAUAGUUUUUUCUAUUUCUGUGAAGAUUGUCAUUCUUCUUAGUAGUUUGGCAGGAGUAGCACUGAAUUUGUAGAUUGCUUUGGGCAGUAUGGCCAUUUUAAUGAUAUUGAUUCUUCUUAUCCAUGAGCAUGGAAUGUUUUUCCAUUUGUUUGUGUCAUCUCUGAUUUCUUUGAGCAGUGUUUUGUAAUUCCCAUUGUAGAGAUCUUCCACCUCCCUGGUUAGCUGUAUUACUGAGUAUUUUAUUCUUUUUGUGGCAAUUGUGAAUGGAAUUGCAUUCUUUAUUUGGCUUUUGGCUUGGAUGUUGUUGGUGUAUGAGCUUAGCCUUUUUUUGAACUUUAUAUAUGAAUGUAAUCUUAUUGUAUGUACUCCUUUGUAUGCGACUUGUUUUGCUCAACCUUUUGUUUGUGAGAUUCAUCCCUGCUGUUGUAGCAGUAGUUGUUCAUUUUCAUUGUGGCAUAGUACCCCACUAUAUAAAUAUAUCACCAUAUAUUUAUUCAUUGCAUUGUUGUUGAACACUUUUGGCUAUCAUGAAUAAAGCUGCUAUAAAUAUUGUACAUAAGACUCUGAUCCUCAUAUGUACUUCUGUUGGACAUGUAUCUAGUGAAAGGAUUGCUGUUUCAUGAGGCAGGCAUAUUUUCAGCUUCAAUAAAUACUGCUGGUUUUCUAAAGUGGUUGUGACAAUUUACACACCCACCAGAGAUGUAUGAGCAUUCCAAUAGCUCCUUGACAAUACUAGGUUUUGUGAGCUCUUUUCCUUUUAGCCUCAUGGUUGUUCAAUGAUAUAGCAUUCUGGUUUUAACUUGCAUUCCCAUGAUGACUAUUGAGGUUGGGUAAUUUUUCAUAUGCUUAUUAGCCAUUUGGAUAACCUCUUUGGAAAGUACCUGUACAAGUCUCUCACCCUUGCUUUUUAAAAUUGAGUAGUCUGUCUUUUUCCUGUUAAUUUGUAGAACUUCUUUAUAUAUUUUAGAUAUGAGACCAUUAGAUAUUUUUGCUGUAAGUAUCUUCUCCCUUUCUAAGUGUCUUUUCAUUAACAGAGGUUUUUAAUUGGAAUGUACUCCAAUUUGUCGGUCUUUUUCUUUUUAAUUUGUUUUUUUGUUCAUGUCUACCAUGGUGUCUACAAGAGCACGAAGAUAUCCUACUAUGCUGUCUUCUUUUAGAUUAAAUUUUAUUGAUUGAUUUUUACGUUUAGCUCUAAAAUCUGUCUGAAGUUUGUGUAUGUGAGGUGUGAGGUAGGAGUCAAAAUUAAAUAUUAAUUUGUUUUUCUGUAUGGCUUUCUAGUUGGCCAUGUAUCUUUUUUUUUUUUUUUAAUUGAGACAGGGUUUCACUCUGUUACCCAGGCUGGAUUACAGUGGCACAAUCACAGCUCACUACAGUCUUGAUCUGGACUUGAGUGAUCCUCCUGCCUCAGCCUCCCAAGUAGCUGGGACUAUAGGCAUGUGCCAUCAUACCCAGAUAGUUAAUUUUUUUUUUUUUUUUUGUAGAGACAGGGUUCAAGGGAUCCUCCAGGCUUGGCCUCCCAGAGUACUGGGAUUCCAGGCAUGAGCCAUAGUACCCUGCUGGCCAUGUAUCAUUUAUUGAAAAGAUCAUAAUUUCCCCACUGCGCUGGAGCACUUUUGUCAUAAAUCAAGUGAUUGUUCAUGUCUAGGUCUGAUUCUGAACUCUAUUAUAUUCCAUUGAUCUAUUCAUCUAUCCUUGAACAAAAUUCACUUUGUCUUGAUAAUUGUUGCAAUAUAAUCUUCCCUUAAGUAUGCUGUAAUUGGAUCUCACAGGUUUUCAUUUGUCAUAUUUUUAUGAUUUAAGUCAAAAUAUUUUCUCAUUCCAUUGUGAUUUCUCCUUUGACCUAGUCUCUUCAUAAGUGAAUUGCUUAUGUUCUAAACAUUUGGGGAUUUAAAAAUUUAUCUUUUUGCAGUUGAUUUCUAGAUUAAUUCCAUUGUGGAUAGAAAAUAUGAUGUACAUAAUUUCAAUUUUCUCAAAAUUAUUUUGAUAUGUGUACGGCCAGGUAAAUGUAAAUUUUGGUAAAUAGUCCAUGUACACUUGAAAAGUAUUUGAAUUUUGCAGUUGUUGGUUGCACUGUUCUCAAUAUAUUAAGAUUGCUUAUUCAUGUUGUUUUAAUUCUCUAUAUCCCUAAACUUUUUUGUUUGUUUUAUUAGCUCCUGAGAAAGGAUUAUUAAAAUCUCUCACUAUAAUUGUGAAUUUGUUCAUAUCUAUUUAGUUUUAAUGAUUCUUGCUUUAUAUAUUUUGAAGCUAUAAUAUUAGAUGCAAAAAAAUUUAAACUGACAUAUUCUUCCAGUAUAUUAAUCCUGUUAUAAUUAUAAAAUGACUCUUUAUUGCUAGUAAUUCUUAUUAUGUAAACAUCUACUUUGUCUGACAUUAUUAUAACUACACCAGUUCCAUUUGAUUGUUUGUCUGGAAUACCCUUUUUCAUACAACCAUUAUGGGCCCUUAUAUUUAAGGCAAAUCUUUUACAAACAACAUAAGGAUUUUAAAAUUGAGUCUGACCAACUUUGUCCUUUUAUUGGAGUAUUUAGUUACAUUUAAUAUAAAUAUUGCUAUAUUUGGGUUUAUACCUAUCAUUUUACUAUUUGUUAUUUAACUCAGCUUUUUGAGAUUAACUCAGCUCUCUCUCCUUUUUUACUUUCAUUAAGAUUAAUUGUGAAUUUUUUACAAUCCUACCCCCACCAUUAGUUAUGUAUCUUCCAUUACUCUGUUAGUGCUUACCCUAGAACAACCCAUAUAGACUUCUGACUUAUUUCUUUCUAUUGUGAAUUUUACUGUUACCACCUCCUAACUGUCCAAAGACCCAAGAACACCUGAACUUCAUUUACCACCUUCUGUCUUUUGUAUAAUAUUGUUAUUAUACAUUUUAAACCUGCAUAGAUACAUGUAUAACAUAUUUUCCAACAUUUUGUUUGGAAAAAUUUCAGACAUACAGGAAAAUUGAAGACAUGUUACACUGAAUACUCAUAUACCACCACCUAGACUCCAUGCUUUUUACAACUCUGGCUUUAUCACAUAUCUAUUCAUUCCUCUAUCUGCUCUCAAUCAAUCCAUCUUACUUUUUAAUGCCUUUUAAAGUAAGUUGUAAAUAUCAAUGCAUUUC
rnacentral:lncRNA from 10 species